rnacentral:rRNA from 1 species
CAGCGGGAGGUGCUUGCACCUCGCCGGCGAGCGGCGGACGGGUGAGUAAUGCAUAGGAAACUGCCCGGUAGUGGGGGAUAACCUGGGGAAACCCAGGCUAAUACCGCAUACGUCCUACGGGAGAAAGCAGGGGCUCUUCGGACCUUGCGCUAUCGGAUGUGCCUAUGUCGGAUUAGCUGGUUGGUGAGGUAACGGCUCACCAAGGCGACGAUCCGUAGCUGGUCUGAGAGGAUGAUCAGCCACACUGGGACUGAGACACGGCCCAGACUCCUACGGGAGGCAGCAGUGGGGAAUAUUGGACAAUGGGCGAAAGCCUGAUCCAGCCAUGCCGCGUGUGUGAAGAAGGCUUUCGGGUUGUAAAGCACUUUCAGUGGGGAAGAAGGCCUGGCGGUUAAUACCCGCCAGGGACGACAUCACCCACAGAAGAAGCACCGGCUAACUCCGUGCCAGCAGCCGCGGUAAUACGGAGGGUGCGAGCGUUAAUCGGAAUUACUGGGCGUAAAGCGCGCGUAGGCGGCUUGAUAAGCCGGGUGUGAAAGCCCUGGGCUCAACCUGGGAACGGCAUCCGGAACUGUCAAGCUAGAGUGCAGGAGAGGAAGGUAGAAUUCCCGGUGUAGCGGUGAAAUGCGUAGAGAUCGGGAGGAAUACCAGUGGCGAAGGCGGCCUUCUGGACUGACACUGACGCUGAGGUGCGAAAGCGUGGGUAGCA